rnacentral:rRNA from 1 species
UACGAAGGGGGCUAGCGUUGCUCGGAAUCACUGGGCGUAAAGGGCGCGUAGGCGGACUCUUAAGUCGGGGGUGAAAGCCCAGGGCUCAACCCUGGAAUUGCCUUCGAUACUGGGAGUCUUGAGUUCGGAAGAGGUUGGUGGAACUGCGAGUGUAGAGGUGAAAUUCGUAGAUAUUCGCAAGAACACCAGUGGCGAAGGCGGCCAACUGGUCCGAAACUGACGCUGAGGCGCGAAGGCGUGGGGAGCGAACGGG